rnacentral:rRNA from 1 species
GACGUAGGGCGCGAGCGUUGUCCGGAUUUAUUGGGCGUAAAGAGCUCGUAGGCGGCUUGUCGCGUCGUCCGUGAAAACCCACAGCUCAACUGUGGGCUUGCGGUCGAUACGGGCAGGCUAGAGUUCGGUAGGGGAGACUGGAAUUCCUGGUGUAGCGGUGAAAUGCGCAGAUAUCAGGAGGAACACCGGUGGCGAAGGCGGGAUCCUGGGCCAGUACUGACGCUGAGGAGCGAAAGCGUGGGGAGCAAACAGG